UUGCUCCCUGAUGUUAGCGGCGGACGGGUGAGUAACACGUGGGUAACCUGCCUGUAAGACUGGGAUAACUCCGGGAAACCGGGGCUAAUACCGGAUGGUUGUUUGAACCGCAUGGUUCAGACAUAAAAGGUGGCUUCGGCUACCACUUACAGAUGGACCCGCGGCGCAUUAGCUAGUUGGUGAGGUAACGGCUCACCAAGGCGACGAUGCGUAGCCGACCUGAGAGGGUGAUCGGCCACACUGGGACUGAGACACGGCCCAGACUCCUACGGGAGGCAGCAGUAGGGAAUCUUCCGCAAUGGACGAAAGUCUGACGGAGCAACGCCGCGUGAGUGAUGAAGGUUUUCGGAUCGUAAAGCUCUGUUGUUAGGGAAGAACAAGUGCCGUUCAAAUAGGGCGGCACCUUGACGGUACCUAACCAGAAAGCCACGGCUAACUACGUGCCAGCAGCCGCGGUAAUACGUAGGUGGCAAGCGUUGUCCGGAAUUAUUGGGCGUAAAGGGCUCGCAGGCGGUUUCUUAAGUCUGAUGUGAAAGCCCCCGGCUCAACCGGGGAGGGUCAUUGGAAACUGGGGAACUUGAGUGCAGAAGAGGAGAGUGGAAUUCCACGUGUAGCGGUGAAAUGCGUAGAGAUGUGGAGGAACACCAGUGGCGAAGGCGACUCUCUGGUCUGUAACUGACGCUGAGGAGCGAAAGCGUGGGGAGCGAACAGGANUANAUACCCUGGUAGUCCACGCCGUAAACGAUGAGUGCUAAGUUGUUAGGGGGUUUCCGCCCCUUAGUG
rnacentral:rRNA from 1 species